AGGGGGCAAGCGUUGUCCGGAUUUAUUGGGCGUAAAGAGCGUGUAGGCGGCCAUACAGGUCAGAUGUGAAAACUCGAGGCUCAACCUCGAGACGUCGGUUGAAACCGUAUGGCUAGAGUCCGGAAGAGGAGAGUGGAAUUCCCGGUGUAGCGGUGAAAUGCGCAGAUAUCGGGAAGAACACCCGUGGCGAAGGCGGCUCUCUGGGACGGUACUGACGCUGAGACGCGAAAGCGUGGGGAGCGAACAGG
rnacentral:rRNA from 1 species